UACGUAGGGGGCUAGCGUUGUCCGGAAUCAUUGGGCGUAAAGGGCGCGUAGGCGGCCCGCUAAGUCGAACGUGAAAUCCCCGGGCUCAACCCGGGAACUGCGUCCGAUACUGGCAGGCUUGAAUCCGGGAGAGGGGAUGCGGAAUUCCAGGUGUAGCGGUGAAAUGCGUAGAUAUCUGGAGGAACACCGGUGGCGAAGGCGGCAUCCUGGACCGGCAUUGACGCUGAGGCGCGAAAGCCAGGGGAGCAAAC
rnacentral:rRNA from 1 species